UACGUAGGGUGCGAGCGUUAAUCGGAAUUACUGGGCGUAAAGCGUGCGCAGGCGGUUUUGUAAGUCAGACGUGAAAUCCCUCGGCUUAACCGGGGAACUGCGUCUGAUACUGGAUGGCUUGAGGUUGGGAGAGGGAUGCGGAAUUCCAGGUGUAGCGGUGAAAUGCGUAGAUAUCUGGAGGAACACCGGUGGCGAAGGCGGCAUCCUGGACCAACAUUGACGCUGAGGAGCGAAAGCUAGGGGAGCAAACGGG
rnacentral:rRNA from 1 species